rnacentral:rRNA from 1 species
CUGCUGCCUCCCGUAGGAGUCUGGGCCGUGUCUCAGUCCCAAUGUGGCCGAUCAACCUCUCAGUCCGGCUACCGAUCGUCGCCUUGGUGGGCCGUUGCCCCACCAACUAGCUAAUCGGCCGCGAGCCCAUCUUCCAGCGGAUUGCUCCUUUGGCUGCAUCGGGAUGCCCCAUCGCAGCGUUAUGCGGUAUUAGCAGUCGUUUCCAACUGUUAUCCCCCUCUGAAAGGCAGGUUGCUCA